UACGGAGGAUGCGAGCGUUAUCCGGAUUUAUUGGGUUUAAAGGGUGCGUAGGCGGGUUGUUAAGUCAGCGGUAAAAUUGCGGUGCUCAACGCCGUAGAGCCGUUGAAACUGGCGACCUUGAGUGGGCGAGAAGUAUGCGGAAUGCGUGGUGUAGCGGUGAAAUGCAUAGAUAUCACGCAGAACCCCGAUUGCGAAGGCAGCAUACCGGCGCCCUACUGACGCUGAGGCACGAAAGUGCGGGUAUCGAACAGG
rnacentral:rRNA from 1 species